rnacentral:rRNA from 1 species
GUUAUAGGGUCAAGUGAAUAAGUGCAUGUGGUGGAUGCCUUGGCGAUCACAGGCGAUGAAGGACGUGCAAGCCUGCGAAAAGCGGGGGGGAGCUGGCAAUGGAGCUUUGAUCCCCCGUGACUGAAUACAUAGGUCAGCGGAAGCGAACCGAGCGAACUGAAACAUCUAAGUAGCUCGAGGAACAGAAAUCAACCGAGAUUCCCAAAGUAGUGGCGAGCGAACUGGGAGUAGCCUGCACGACUAAACCAUUUACUUAACAAAACGGUCUGGAAAGUCCGACGAUACAGGGUGAUAGUCCCGUAUGUGAAAAGUAAGUGGCGGGUCUGAGCGUGCGACAAGUAGGGCGGGACACGUGAAAUCCUGUUUGAAGAUGGGGGGACCAUCCUCCAAGGCUAAAUACUCGUGAUCGACCGAUAGUGAACCAGUACCGUGAGGGAAAGGCGAAAAGAACCCCGGGAGGGGAGUGAAAUAGAUCCUGAAACCGCAUGCAUACAAACAGUGGGAGUCAGCGACUUACGUUCAGUAGCGAGCUUAACCGAAUAGGGGAGGCGUAGCGAAAGCGAGUCUGAAUAGGGCGAUUCAGUUGCUGGACGUAGACCCGAAACCAAGUGAUCUAUCCAUGGCCAGGAUGAAGGUGCCGUAACAGGUACUGGAGGUCCGAACCCACUAAUGUUGAAAAAUUAGGGGAUGAGCUGUGGAUAGGGGUGAAAGGCUAAACAAACUUGGAAAUAGCUGGUUCUCCCCGAAAACUAUUUAGGUAGUGCCUCAUGUAUCACUCUCGGGGGUAGAGCACUGUAAUGGUUGGGGGGGUCAUUGCGAUCUACCCCGCCAUAGCAAACUCCGAAUACCGAGAAGUGCGAGCAUGGGAGACAGACGGUGGGUGCUAACGUCCAUCGUCAAGAGGGAAACAACCCAGACCGCCAGCUAAGGCCCCCAAUGCGUGGCUAAGUGGAAAACGAGGUGGGAAGGCAUAGACAGCCAGGAGGUUGGCUUAGAAGCAGCCAUCCUUUAAAGAAAGCGUAAUAGCUCACUGGUCGAGUCGUCCUGCGCGGAAGAUGUAACGGGGCUCAGGAAGAUGUAACGGGGCUCAAGCCACGAGCCGAAGCUGCGGAUAUGUCGUAAGACAUAUGGUAGGGGAGCGUUCUGUAAGUCUGCGAAGGUGUCUGGUAACGGAUGCUGGAGAUAUCAGAAGUGCGAAUGCUGACAUGAGUAGCGAUAAAGCGGGUGAAAGGCCCGCUCGCCGAAAGCCCAAGGUUUCCUACGCAACGUUCAUCGGCGUAGGGUGAGUCGGCUCCUAAGGCGAGGCCGAAAGGCGUAGUCGAUGGGAAACAGGUCAAUAUUCCUGUACCAGUCCAUGAUGCGAUGGGGGGACGGAGAAGGUUAUAGCAGCCGGGUGUUGGAAGUCCCGGUUUAAGCAGGUAGGCGUGCUGCGUAGGCAAAUCCGCGCGGCUUAGCCGAGAUGUGAUGACGAGGACCCACGUGGUCCGAAGUGCUAGAUACCACGCUUCCAAGAAAAGCCUCUAAGCUUCAGUCAUGGAGUGACCGUACCGCAAACCGACACAGGUGGGCAGGAUGAAAAUUCUCAGGCGCUUGAGAGAACCCAGGAGAAGGAACUCGGCAAAUUGAUACCGUAACUUCGGGAGAAGGUAUGCCCCUCGUACGUGAAGUCCCUCGCGGACGGAGCGGAAAGGGGUCGCAGAGAAUCGGUGGCUGCGACUGUUUAAUAAAAACACAGCACUCUGCAAACACGAAAGUGGACGUAUAGGGUGUGACGCCUGCCCGGUGCCGGAAGGUUAAGUGAUGGGGUGCAAGCUCUUGAUCGAAGCCCCGGUAAACGGCGGCCGUAACUAUAACGGUCCUAAGGUAGCGAAAUUCCUUGUCGGGUAAGUUCCGACCUGCACGAAUGGCGCGAAGUUGAAAUGUUUGUGAAGAUGCAAUCUCCCCGCGGCUAGACGGAAAGACCCCAUGAACCUUUACUGUAGCUUUGCAUUGGACUUUGACGGGACUUGUGUAGGAUAGGUGGGAGGCAGUGAGACGUGGUCGCCAGAUCACGUGGAGCCAACCUUGAAAUACCACCCUGGUGUCGUUGAGGUUCUAACCUAGGUCCGUGAAUCCGGAUCGGGGACCGUGCAUGGCAGGCAGUUUGACUGGGGCGGUCUCCUCCUAAAAGGUAACGGAGGAGUUCGAAGGUUCGCUUGGUACGGUCGGACAUCGUACCUAAAGUGCAAUGGCAAAAGCGAGCUUGACUGCGAGACUGACACGUCGAGCAGGUGCGAAAGCAGGACAUAGUGAUCCGGUGGUUCUGUAUGGAAGGGCCAUCGCUCAACGGAUGGUACGUGAGCUGGGUUUAAAACGUCGUGAGACAGUUUGGUCCCUAUCUGCCGUGGGCGCUGGAAGUUUGAGGGGACCUGCUCCUAGUACGAGAGGACCGGAGUGGACUUACCUCUGGUGUACCGGUUGUCACGCCAGUGGCAUCGCCGGGUAGCUAAGUAGGGAAGAGAUAAGCGCUGAAAGCAUCUAAGCGCGAAACUCGCCUCAAGAUGAGACUUCCCGGGGACUUGAUCCCCCUGAAGGGUCGUGGAAGACCACCACGUUGAUAGGCUGGGUGUGGAAGUGCAGUAAUGCAUUAAGCUAACCAGUACUAAUUGCCCGUGCGGCUUGACCCUAUAACC